GCCUCCUUCGUCUAGUGGUUAGGACACAAGAUUUUCAUUCUUGCAACAUGGGUUCGAUUCCCAUAGGAGGUG
rnacentral:tRNA from 1 species